CAGCAGCCGCGGUAAUACGUAGGGUGCGAGCGUUAAUCGGAAUUACUGGGCGUAAAGCGUGCGCAGGCGGUUAUAUAAGACAGAUGUGAAAUCCCCGGGCUCAACCUGGGACCUGCAUUUGUGACUGUAUCGCUGGAGUACGGUAGAGGGGGAUGGAAUUCCGCGCGUAGCAGUGAAAUGCGUAGAUAUGCGGAGGAACACCGAUGGCGAAGGCAAUCCCCUGGACCUGUACUGACGCUCAUGCACGAAAGCGUGGGGAGCAAACAGGAUUAGAUACCCCCGUAGUCCCUGUCUCUUAUAC
rnacentral:rRNA from 1 species